rnacentral:rRNA from 1 species
AGAACGAACGCUGGCGGCACGCCUAACACAUGCAAGUCGAGCGCCCAGCAAUGGGAGCGGCGGACGGGUGAGGAACACGUGGGAACAUGCCUUUCGGUUCGGCACAACUGCGGGAAACUGCAGCUAAUUCCGGAUACGCCCUUACGGGGAAAGAUUUAUCGCCGAAAGAUUGGCCCGCGUCUGAUUAGCUAGUUGGUGAGGUAAUGGCUCACCAAGGCUUCGAUCAGUAGCUGGUUUGAGAGAACGACCAGCCACACUGGGACUGAGACACGGCCCAGACUCCUACGGGAGGCAGCAGUGGGGAAUCUUGGACAAUGGAGGAAACUCUGAUCCAGCGAUGCCGCGUGAGUGAUGAAGGCCUUCGGGUUGUAAAACUCUUUUACCAGGGAAGAUAAUGACUGUACCUGGAGAAUAACGCCCCGGCUAACUUCGCGCCAGCAGCCGC